rnacentral:piRNA from 1 species
UGCCACAGGAAAGUGACAUUAAAUGGGGU